ensembl:miRNA Mir7026 microRNA 7026
UGCGUUUCUGAGACCAUGGGGUAUAUGCAGUGGUUCUGGUAACAUGUGCUUUCUGGUCUUGGCUUAG